AUGUGGCGGUGCGUCACCCGCGCUCAGCGGCUGGUCCCUGACCACGUGUCCGUGUUCCGCGUGGCCGUCAACAACCGAAGGUGGCUCCGGCCGGCGCUGCCGAGGGAGUACUUUGGGAACCGCAUCCACGUCGUCAGCAUAGAGUCCGCGCGCUCUUCAGACCUGCUGGGGCACGGCGGGCACGGGCGGAGGCAGCGGCCCUGGAGCGCGCGGUGGUGGCGUACACGGACGCGGCCAUCAGGGAGCACGUCGCGGCGCGGACGGCAAGCCCGCCAGGGAACAAUGCUAGUGGGUGGCGGCGGCGUGGCGCUUGGGUUCAAUGGUCGGAGAGUAGCUGCGAGAGAGAAAAAAAUUUCGAUCGAUCUGGCGAAGGGAGUCGCCCGCGGAGCUCGCUAUUAG
rnacentral:rRNA from 1 species